CAUUAGUUUAGUGGUAAAAUAUCUGCCUUCCAAUCAGAUGUCGAGUUCGAUUCCCGUAUGAUG
rnacentral:tRNA from 1 species